rnacentral:siRNA from 1 species
UGCGUGGUAACUGGUAUUCAUU